GAUGAACGCUGGCGGCGUGCCUAAUACAUGCCAGUCGAGCGAACAGACGAGGAGCUUGCUCCUUCGACGUUAGCGGCGGACGGGCGAGUAACACGUAGGUAACCUACCUAUAAGACUGGGAUAACUUCGGGAAACCGGAGCUAAUACCGGAUAAUAUUUCGAACCGCAUGGUUCGAUAGUGAAAGAUGGCUUUGCUAUCACUUAUAGAUGGACCUGCGCCGUAUUAGCUAGUUGGUAAGGUAACGGCUUACCAAGGCAACGAUACGUAGCCGACCUGAGAGGGUGAUCGGGCAGACGGGCUCUGAGACACGGCACAGACUCCUACGCGAGGCAGCAGUAGGAAAUCUUCCGCAAUGGGCGAAAGCCUGACGGAGCACCGCCGCGUGAGUGAUGACGGUCUUCGGCUCGUAAAACUCUGUUAUUAGGGAAGAACAAACGUGUAAGUAACUGUGAACGUCUUGACGGUACCUAAUCAGAAAGCCACGGCUAACUACGUG
rnacentral:rRNA from 1 species